AGUGAACGCUGGCGGUAGGCCUAACACAUGCAAGUCGAACGGCAGCACAGUAAGAGCUUGCUCUUACGGGUGGCGAGUGGCGGACGGGUGAGGAAUACAUCGGAAUCUACUUUUUCGUGGGGGAUAACGUAGGGAAACUUACGCUAAUACCGCACACGACCUACGGGUGAAAGCAGGGGAUCUUCGGACCUUGCGCGAUUGAAUGAGCCGAGGUCGGAUUAGCUAGUUGGCGGGGUAAAGGCCCACCAAGGCGACGAUCCGUAGCUGGUCUGAGAGGAUGAUCAGCCACACUGGAACUGAGACACGGUCCAGACUCCUACGGGAGGCAGCAGUGGGGAAUAUUGGACAAUGGGCGCAAGCCUGAUCCAGCCAUACCGCGUGGGUGAAGAAGGCCUUCGGGUUGUAAAGCCCUUUUGUUGGGAAAGAAAAGCAGCAGGUUAAUACCCCGCUGUUCUGACGGUACCCAAAGAAUAAGCACCGGCUAACUUCGUG
rnacentral:rRNA from 1 species